GUCCUCUAGGUUAAAAUAUUUUAGGUCAGGCCUGCUCUAUGAAUAUUUUUAAUGGCUGCGGUAUUUUGACCGUGCAAAGGUAGCAUAAUAAUUAGUCUUUUAAAUGAAGGCUUGAAUGAAUGGUUUCACGAAAGAUUGACUCUUUAAUUUGGAUUAUUUCUUGAAUUUAAUAAUUAGGUUAGAAAGCCUGUAUGGGUUAGGGGGACGAGAAGACCCUAUAGAACUUUAAAUAGUGGGAAUGUUAUUUUAUUUGGUUUAAUAACUAUAUUGGAAUUAGUAUUUGUAUUUUAUUUUGGGUUGGGGUGAUUAGGGAAUUUUUAUAACUUCCUUGUUUUUUUUAACUCUAAUUAAUUAUAUUUUGAUCCUUAUGUUAAGAUUAUAAGAUGAAGUUACCUUAGGGGUAACAGCAUAAUUUAGUUGUGGAGUUCAUAUCGAUAACUUGGGAUUGUGA
rnacentral:rRNA from 1 species